GGGUCGUAGUCAAAAUGAGCCUUUACGUGGAUCUAAACAAUAAAAAGAGUAAAAGGACAAUAAUGAAAUGGCAACACAAUGUUUAGCAUAAAUACAGUCCUGUUGAUUGCAAACGUGCAAGAGAAUGCAAAACACUGCACAGUUACUGCUAACAAGCUGAGAUGCCAACAGGCCUUGAAAGUUUAACAGAAGCAGAAGGAAUGAAACAGAGAGUCCCCCCCUCUCCACCCCUGACUUGUGAAAACAAUGACUGCAGUAAGGUAUGUAAUUUCUAAACCACUGUUACCAGGAAAGGUAAACUGUAAACCUCUCCACAUCUGUCAUCUAAGCAGGUGAGUGUCAGCUUCCCUGGUGCCAUCAUCUCUUCUUGACCACACUAUCAGUGUGACUGUGCCUUAAUCGCUCAGAGUCUAUCCUAAAGGACUAUGUCUAGGCCCCAAACUGCUAAAAUUACCUAAAUCAAGUUUAUAACCAAUUCCUAUCAUGUUCUGUAUGUAGGCAUUGAAAUAUUAUUAGUGCUACAAGCUAAAAUUUUUGCUAACUGUGCUUUGCAUAUCUAAAACCUGCUAUGCUCUCAGAACUAAAAAUAGGUAAGAAUUCACAUGAAUCUUAUUAAAAGCUCAAUUAUUUCCUACAGUAUUUUCUCCAAUAUACUUCUGUAAGUUAUAACAAAGUAUUCUUACUCCUUAAAAGGUAUAAAGGAAUCAAUAUUCUCCUUAAUUCUUCUAUCUGAAAUUUUUAUCCAACCUGGUCAAGUGGCAUGUGGCAUUUCCAAAAUCUGCAGAUUAUAUGAAAUCUGAUAAAAUUGAAUUUUAGUGUUAUAUAGGGUAGUAGUAAGUCAAAACACAGCUGAGAGACUGGGUAAAAAGAUUAUACAUACAAUUUUACAAUCUUGGCAUGAGAAGGAUAUACUAUAUAGGAUAAAAUAAAAUCUCUGCUUGUACUAUUCCUAUUAAUAAUGCUUCCAUAUAUGUUUAAAUUGUUGCUUUUUAGCUAAACAAUCUUAGAAAUCUAAAUAUGAAACUAUAGGCAUCAUUUAUUGUGGUGGAGAGUUCAUUUUAUUAUCAAGCUUUUCAGAGAUCUAUGAAAUCAGACUUCUUGUCAGCUUGAUGGAUGAUUUUAUCAAAUCACUUUCUGAAAUCAAUACCCAGCAAGCUGUUUUCAAAGUGUUUUGCUCAGAACACUUACUAGGAUGUUUAUUAAAAUACUGACUUCUUAUACCACAUCUCAAACUUUCAGAUUCUGUAUUUUAAUUCAUUUAGGUUCAUUUAGGUUCCUUGGAUAAUUGCUACAUACAUGUCAUUUAAGAUGUACCCUAAAAUCUUAGGGAAUUACUAUCCUGAGGGAAACUAAAUAGGCCAGUGAAGAUGCUAUAUCUAAGUCUAUGAUCUUUGCCAGAGGCAGACAAAAUCACCCAGAGAUGUUUUUCUCUCUACUCUUGCUUAGGUCUCACCCCUUGACCAUUCGGAAUUUUUUUGGUUUGGAAUGAGGCCCCUCGUUGUGUUGACUGGAAGAGGAGAAGAGAGGACAUGCUUUGUUUAUGUGACAAGUUUAUUUAGUGCUGUUUAAAAUGUACUCUAAAACUGAGAGCAAAGUUUAUUUCACAUCAGAGAAAUUAACCAACUGACUGAGUUAAAGUCUGAGUACUGCCUUAACACAUACUAUGUGACUUUUUUGUGACUUCUAUCUAUAUAUAGGCAUGUUUUUAUUGUUUCACUUUAUUGCAUUUUUCAGAUAUAUACAUAUAUUUAUACGUAAAUUGAAGGUCUGUGGCAACCUUGUGUUGUCAGAUGAAGGUUAGCAUUUUUAAGCAAUAAAGUAUUUUUAAAUGAG